rnacentral:rRNA from 1 species
UACAGAGGUCUCAAGCGUUGUUCGGAUUCAUUGGGCGUAAAGGGUGCGUAGGUGGCGCCGUAAGUCAGGUGUGAAAUUUCGGAGCUUAACUCCGAAACUGCAUUUGAUACUGCGGUGCUUGAGGACUGGAGAGGAGACUGGAAUUCACGGUGUAGCAGUGAAAUGCGUAGAUAUCGUGAGGAAGACCAGUGGCGAAGGCGGGUCUCUGGACAGUUCCUGACACUGGGGCACGAAGGCCAGGGGAGCAAACGGG